GCGGAUGUGGUGGAACUGGUAGACACGCAGCCUUGAGGGGGCUGUGGGGGAAACCCCGUAGGAGUUCGACUCUCCUCUUCCGCACCA
rnacentral:tRNA from 1 species